CCAGAAAUGGUUGCCCCGCAAGGUCGGUAUACAGGUGGUGCAUGGUUGUCGUCAGCUCGUGUCGUGAGAUGUUGGGUUAAGUCCCGCAACGAGCGCAACCCUCGUUCUAUGUUGCCAGCACGUCAUGGUGGGAACUCAUAGGAGACUGCCGGGGUCAACUCGGAGGAAGGUGGGGAUGACGUCAAAUCAUCAUGCCCCUUAUGUCUUGGGCUUCACGCAUGCUACAAUGGCCGGUACAAAGGGCUGCGAUACCGUAAGGUGGAGCGAAUCCCAAAAAGCCGGUCUCAGUUCGGAUUGAGGUCUGCAACUCGACCUCAUGAAGUCGGAGUCGCUAGUAAUCGCAGAUCAGCAACGCUGCGGUGAAUACGUUCCCGGGCCUUGUACACACCGCCCGUCAAGUCAUGAAAGUCGGUAACACCCGAAGCCAGUGGCCUAACCGCAAGGAGGGAGCUGUCGAAGGUGGGAUCGGUGAUUAGGACUAAGUCGUAACAAGGUAGCCGUACCGGAAGGUGCGGCUGGAUCACCUCCUUUCUAAGGA
rnacentral:rRNA from 1 species